rnacentral:rRNA from 1 species
CUUGAACGCUGGCGGCAAGCCUAACACAUGCAAGUCGAACGCGUGGCGGACGGGUGAGUAAUGUCUGGGAAACUGCCUGAUGGAGGGGGAUAACUACUGGAAACGGUAGCUAAUACCGCAUACCAUCGGAUGUGCCCAGAUGGGAUUAGCUAGUAGGUGGGGUAAAGGCUCACGUAGGCGACGAUCCCUAGCUGGUCUGAGAGGAUGACCAGCCACACUGGAACUGAGACAGGGGCCAGGAGCCUACGGGAGGCAGCAGUGGGUAAAAUUGCAGAAUGGGCGCAAGCCUGAGGCAGCCAUGCCGCGUAUAUGAAGAAGGCCUUCGGGUUGUAAAGGACUUUCAGCGGGGAGGCGUUACCCGCAGAAGAAGCACCGGCUAACUCCGUGCCAGCAGCCGCGGGAAUAC